UACGAAGGGGGCUAGCGUUGUUCGGAAUUACUGGGCGUAAAGCGCGCGCAGGCGGCUAUCCAAGUCAGUGGUGAAAGCCCGGAGCUCAACUCCGGAACUGCCAUUGAAACUGUUUAGCUUGAGUAUGAGAGAGGUGAGUGGAAUUCCCAGUGUAGAGGUGAAAUUCGUAGAUAUUGGGAAGAACACCGGUGGCGAAGGCGGCUCACUGGCUCAUUACUGACGCUCAGGCGCGACAGCGUGGGGAUCAUACAGG
rnacentral:rRNA from 1 species